rnacentral:rRNA from 1 species
UACGAAGGGGGCUAGCGUUGCUCGGAAUCACUGGGCGUAAAGGGUGCGUAGGCGGGUCUUUAAGUCAGGGGUGAAAUCCUGGAGCUCAACUCCAGAACUGCCUUUGAUACUGGCGAGCUUGAGUUCGGGAGAGGUGAGUGGAACUGCGAGUGUAGAGGUGAAAUUCGUAGAUAUUGGGAAGAACACCGGUGGCGAAGGCGGCGACCUGGUCCGAUACUGACGCUGAGGCGCGAAAGCGUGGGGAGCAAACAGG